rnacentral:sRNA from 1 species
AUUUUUCAAUUUUUUUGGUUUUUUCUAUGCCUUAGAUGAAUGCAGACUCAAAAUUAUAUACAAUGCAACAAACACUUCCUGAGCCCUGCCCCAAACUUAUAUCACACAAUCCACUGUUUGACCAAAUUUGGAAGAGAGUACUCAGGACAAAACACAUCACAAAAACAAAAUAAGAACAAGAGAUGGUAUAUUGCAAUGGUGGAGUGAGGUGCAUACCUCAGUGGAAGAAGGAGCGGAGUUGGUCGUCAAUAGCUGCCUGUGAUUGCUCCCAGGCCAUCGAAGAAUCUCCCUGUUGUGUCUCAGCUUCCCCCUGGGGGUACUCGACCUCUGCUCCUUCGUCGCGGCCAGCACCGCUCUGAUGAUACUCGACCUCUCUUCUUCUGCUGCGGCCAGCACCGCGGUCGAGUGAAUUACUGACAUGGAGAAGUUGUGACUGCAUCAUUUGCUAUACUCGACCACAUCGUCAUUCGGUCCCUGUAGGGUGUGGUCGAGUGAUUUCCUAGGGUGAAAGCCAGAACAAUGUCGAUUUUGAUUGCUCUGUGGUCGAGUAUAUUGUUGCUCCUUCAAAGCCAGAAUCUUUUUCCCUCAGCUCUUCAUACUUAUCUCCUGAAAACACUAACAAGAUGCAUCAAAAACAAUAAGGAAAAUUAAAGAUAUGUACAAAGAUAGGCUUGAGACUUCCUCCCAAGUGAGCUUGUUUUAAAGUCUCUAGCUUGACUCCUCACACUCAUUAAGAAGAAAAUGGGUGAUAGAGAGGAUCUGCAUAGCCCUCUCUGAUCUCAUCAUCAUAUUCAACAUCCUCUCUUGAGAGAUGAGUAGCAGAAUACUCAAUUCUUCUCUCCUCGAAAUAGGCCUCUUUCUCUUCUGGUGGAUAAUCUAUCUCCUCAGACCAUCUUGAAGUAAACUUUUUCCUCGGG